rnacentral:misc_RNA from 1 species
UUUUUUUUUUUUUUUUUUUUUUCGCUUCCCUUAACCCCGAAGCACCGUCGCUAAAAUGCGCCCUUUUACCCAUAUUUUUGUCAAAAUUAGAUUACAUACUCAGAUAAAUACUAACAGCACCUCGGUAUAAUUAUUCCUUAGCCAAAAUUUGCCAAAUCCUUUGCAGCUUUUUCUCCGCGAUAAUACCAAGCAAAAUCUGGAAAACGCAAAUCCUUUCUCCCUAACCUUAAUCAGAGCACAAAUCGAAGGAAACAAAUAAAAAUUGUAAAUCCAACAAAAGAAUCAUCAUUCUAACUAAUCCAAGAAGGCUAUAAAUUAACAUCUUUUUUUGUUUUUCUUGAAUUUUUUUUUUUUUUGGGAAUUCUUUCGUUUCUAUGGUACUUUGAUCACUCAUGACAUGUUAACAUGGAAA